AGAUUUGAUUACUUCAACCCUUUAAGAAUUUGCCUCUUCUGCUUAGAUGUUUGAACAUGAAUGGUCACUAUCACUUUUAUAUUAAUAAUGGAUUAAAAUUUUCAAUCUGAGAGUUGUUAUGGGCACCAAGGCAUUUAAGAGAGUCUUAUCAAAUAAACAAUCUGGAUCAUUGAAAAAGGCUCAAAUCUAACAACUAUAGUCCUCACAUAUCUUAAUUUAGUAAGUUGAGAUGUCUUGGAGCGAACACUACAACAAGACGGGGUAUUACCAACGCAUUUUUAAUGUGUUUUUUCCUGCGCCCAAAACAUAGCAUCGGCAAAAGGCGCUAAUAUAAAAUGAAAAACCCUACUCACAGUCCCUUUAUAUUCUCUCUUCCUCCCUCUUGUGUCUGAUCCUUUCCCUCUCCCUCUCGGCCCCCUAUCCUUCUCUCUGUCUCUCUCUGGUUUGCAUUGCUGGUAGCACAAGCCACCCGCUCUUGCCCCGCUCUCUCACUCUCUCUCGUCUUCUCCUUUCUUUGAGAUGCAACAAUGGCUUCCUUGAUUAGAGAAGGCUGGGUUCUUUUAUGAAAUCCUAACCAAAAAGGAGAGAGAGAGAGAGAGAGAGAGAGAGAGAGAGAGAGAGAGAGAGAGAGAAACUGCUAUGCCUGAACUGAAUCUCCUAAAACCUUAUUCACAUUCCAACUCUGCAUGCCUGAAUUGAAGAGACUGCUCAGGACCAUGGACAUUAUAAAGGUGUUAGACUGGCAUCAGUUGAGAUCUAUUUGGCCCAUCAGCUAAUCGUGGAUCCAUCUUUUACAGUUUGACCACUAGUCUUCCAGUAGCUUAGAUUUGCAGCGUGGGAGUUAUGAAAGUUCAAAUACGAGAUGUGUUAGACAAGGUUCAAAAGUCACUAGGGGAGUAUGUAACACAUGCAAUUCCAUACAGCAAGAUUUUUCUAACCUGAAGGUGGUUUUUCCUCCUAGAUCUGCUCUUGGAUUACUCUGUAAUCUGCAGUUUUGACUUAAAAUAAAUGAAAUGACAAUUCUAGUUGUGCCCUGACUAAGGUUUGUUGGUGAGUGAUUGAAAUGGCUGUACACGGAUGUGAAAGAGAUUGCAAGCGAUUGAUUUCUCAACAUUGCCUGAGGCUCAUGCAUGCACUGCUAGUUUUGAAGUCUUUGACAAACACUGCGACUAUUCAGCCUUCAUUGCGCUUUGGAGGAGCAUUGCCAUAACACCUCCUUGACGCAGGGAUGAACCUGAUGAGGUCGAUCACCGUCUUCUUCAAAGAUAACUACUCCAAAUCCAUGGAGCUUCUUUGGACUCCUCACAAAGACUUCUCGAAUCCACAAGGAAAGAAUGCAAGAAAUUAGAUAUAAAUUCUAAUAAAUUCCAAAUUUGAUUGAUUGAUGAAAUAAACAAGUUCACAACCCUUUAAAUAGGGAUACCAUGCAAUGGGAGAGAAAUUAGAAGCAAACUAUAACUAAAACUCCUAGAAUUCAUAACUUACUAUAAAUAGUAAACUUACUAUUUAUAGACAGUUGUGAUGUCUACUAGUGCGCAAGGUUUUUGGCAGAAAAUAGUGUGCUAUUUGGCUUCACCAAGCUGUUCUCCUAAUUAUUCUAAGCUCUUUUCACGUUGGGCGCAACUCCUAAAGCCCAACGGAUGAAGAGUUAUAAUCAAACUAAAACUUACUAUUUAUAGUAAAACCGGAAUUAAAAUAGGGAAACGACCGUCGAUCCGGGGGUAUUUCGCAAAUCCGGCUUGCGUAACCUGGCGUAGUGGGGUUGGGUGGCUAAAGUAGCCCAUUCUACUCCCAAAUCAUAUAUUUUACGUCCGAUAACUCAUUCCAGAUUGGGAGAUACGCCCGAUCUAAGGUCUGAUGGUUUGGAUCACUUCUAUCGUCAGCCAGGCCUUUUUUGAUCCAUCUUGUCCAUGAAACUGUCCGCGACCCGCUCUACAUCACUCCUCAAGUAAGAUAAUGCACAUUAUAAUUAUGUUAAUAGUUUAAAUGAAUGAGGUUUUCUUCAAUCUGUGAUUUGUCAUAUGAUGGUCUCUCUUUGUGGACAACCUGUUAAAUUGUUUAAGUCUGCUAUGAAAUUUUUAUUCCCUUUUUUGUAAACUAUUUUCCUCGAUCUCACUUACAGCAAUGGUUUUGAGUUCCCAACUUCUUUAUCAAAUGAUAAGAAGAUCAUGCAUGGCCUGUAUUUCUUUUAAAUAUUAAAGCUGCUAUUAAUCUUGCUACAAAUUCUUUUAUUGAUACAGAGGAAGAGUCUUGCAUGUAAGAGACACUUCAUCAUUAUCAUAGUCAUAGUCUCAGCUACAUGGAGUUAGCUUUGUAUUGUUUACUAGUGCCUGUCCUUCGCUAAAAAUGUAUUGAUUUGGCCAAGGAUAGGAUUUGUACCGUUCUUGUGUUUUUUUUUCAAGAGAAUAGGAAGGACCGCACUUCAGUGCCUGUAAAUAAAUUUUGGAGAGAAAAUCAUCGACUACCUCGUUAUAGUAUUCACUGGCCGGGAUGAACUCGAAGACAAUGACGAGACCCUGAUGGAUAUUUUGGCUCUUG